CCACGUGGGUUCUGGACUCUCGUGGUUCUGAGUCCGUGGCUGUGAUUUGUUUUAUUAAACCGUGACUGGGUUUAGUGGAAGUACUUCGGGCAGCGACACUUAAGCCUACAACAGUGACCUCUCGGGAGCAGAACGGUAACACGGAUGCGUUACAUAAGGUCGAAACACAUAGCCAAGAACGUCAGCCUCUCCAUCGUCCGACACGUGUCCACCAUGAAGACGUUAGCAUUGACCAAAAUCCUAUUUCUCCUUCACAUCGCCCUUGUCUGCGGGGCGCCCUUCAUUGCCAAGCGGUACAGGAAGACCCAACAGGAGGACCAGAACUACUGGAACAACCUGGCCCAGAACGAGCUGAAGCGAGCCCUGGGCGUGGAGAAGAACACCAACGUCGCCAAGAACGUCAUCCUGUUCUUGGGAGACGGCAUGAGCAUCCCGACCCUCACGGCCGCCAGGAUCUACAAGGGGCAACAGCACAAGCGGGGAGGCGAGGAAGGACACCUCACUUUUGAAUCCUUCCAUCACGUGGGGCUCUCCAAGACAUACAACGUCGACAAGCAAGUUCCAGACAGCGCUGGGACUGGCACAGCUUAUCUAACCGGAGUCAAGACGAACUACAAGACCAUUGGCUUCGACGCCUCCAUCAAAUACAAUGACUGCCAGACUAUGUUUGUGUUUGACUUCUACCAGGUGACCCAUGCCACGCCAGCCUCCACCUAUGCCCACGUCGCGAACAGAGACUGGGAGUGUGACGGCGCUAUUUCGGCUGAGGAUAUGCAAAAAUGCCCCGACCUGAAGGACAUCGCGAGACAGCUGAUCGAAGAUGAGCCGGUGAUCAUGGGUGGCGGUUACCAGAACUUCGUCGCCAACGCUACGGACAGACCCAAUGACCCCUUGGACGACCAGUGGGCCAGCUGCAGAAGGAAGGAUGGGCGAGACCUGGUCAAGAGCUGGCUGGAAGGAAAGCAACAGAGUGGAGUCAAGCACCACUUCGUCCGGUCCAAAACAGAACUGAAUGAUGUCGACACUUCGGACACUGAAUAUCUCUUUGCCCUAUUUUCCAACGGCCACGUCCCCUACGAGCACGAGAAGAAGAGCCUGAACCUGGACGUCCGACGCUGGCCGAGAUGACCGAGAAGGCGAUCGAGAUCCUCUCAGCUGGAGACAACGGCUUCUUCUUGCUGGUUGAGGGAGGCCGAAUUGACCACGCCCACACGACACUCUAGCUCACCGCGCCCUUGACGAGGCCGUAGCGAUGGACGAAGCUAUUGAAAAGGCCUUGAACCUCACCAGUGAAGAGGAUACGCUCAUCGUUGUCACCGCCGACCACGCUCACACCAUGUCUAUCAGUGGCUAUCCCAGUCGUGGACAGGAAAUUAUUGGUCUCGCCGCUCUGGGUGACGACGGCCUGCCCUACACCACGCUCAUGUACGCGAACGGCCCCGGGUACAACUACACCGUCAAGGAGGAUGAGAACGAGCAGCAUCUCGUCUCCCGCUGGAACAUCACACAGGAAGUGGCCACAGGAUGGGACUACACUCAGCUGGCGGCCGUACCCAGGAACUCAGAGACACACGGUGGCGAUGAUGUUGCUAUUUAUGCUAACGGUCCCAUGGCUCACCUUUUCCACACUCUUCACGAGCAGAACUACAUUGCCCACGCCAUGGCAUAUGCAGCUUGUAUUGGAGCUAAUCAAGACCAUUGCAAGGGUGCAAGCACCAUGUAUCCUGGAACACCUACUGUUGGUAAAACAACUGAUUAUAUUGAAACAACUACUGCGGGAGGAUCAACUUUAGCUGCUCUACCUGGUGUGGUUCUCGCGCUGCUCUCUGCCUUGUGGUUACAGCACUGAGUGCGUCGCUAUCCCUUCAUGCUUAUCAAAUUAGAAUAUGUGGUUUUAUCUUCCAAAUACUUUAAACAAAUUGGUAGUUUCGAGACCAAUGACAGCAGCUAAGUGAAAGAAUGUGAAAUUUCAAGACCAAUGACAGCAGCUAGUUGAUAUAACUGAUUAAUUCCUACAUCAGAUUGACAAACUUAGGGCACUAGUUAUGAGAAGCACUGCAUUUACACUUAUUUUACAUUUCUUGUUCAGAAGAAAUUGAAUAAGCUAGUAUGUGAUUUCCGGUAUGAAUUAUCUGACAAUUUUAAAUUAAAGAACUUAUGUCAGUAUUUUCUCUAUAUUUUUAUAUGUAUGGGAAUGUCUUUGUCCAUUCUUGUUGCAUAGCAGCUGGAUAUUAUGCAUUUCUAACUAAGGUACAAGUGUCAAGUAUCCAAUGGUGCUACCGAGGGGCCAAAUACUUAGUAAGAUAACAAGACUGGUGCUACUAUCUUUAAAGCUUGAGUGAUACAAUGGUUUCUGUGAAAUUUAGUGUCUCAGGUAUUACUUUGCAAGAGUUAUGCUAGCUUGUGAAGAAUCACAAGGAAAAUAUUUGGUUACAUGAAUUAAAUGUUUGUGGGUGGUAUGAAUGUGGCUGAUUAUGUAAAAUCUAUUGGCACAUUAUUAUUACCACCAAAACUUUAAAUUUCUGUAACUGGAAAGAGUAAAAGGUAGCUGUGAAAAUACUUGAUUGACAUUUAAUAAUAUAUUUGUACAUUCUGUUCAUCCUUGAUGCUUUAUGUGGAGAUGUUUGUUGACAGGUAAAACCAAGUAGUAUUUAAACAAUAUCCUGACAUCACAUCAAUGGAUCACUGCUUUCAUUAGUUUCAACCAACAUAGAUAUUUAUUCAUUGUCACAUCAUUUUGAUCCUUUGAAUGCUAUUUUCCAGAUGAAAUACUAGGAUAUUUGCAUAUAUGUAAUUAAUUAUAAUAUAUAUAUAUAUAUAUUUUGUCAACGUGAUCUAAAUAAAAUAUUGAUAAAAA